GUAAAUGUUGGUUUUGGUCAUGGGAGUUAGAGUUUAUUCGUAACCAAAUGUUCAGAGUUUUGUAAAAGGCAUUUGAUGUUGGUGCCCAUUAUUUGAUUUGCACGGAUGCAGUAAUUUACCCUUUUACUUCAUUCACUUAGUGUUUCACUCUCUGAUAAGGUUUACUGGGGGACAAUUAGGGGAUAGUUACCUCUAGAAUUCUCAACGAAGCGUGUCAGAUUUUAGGUUACAAAAGGUGAAUUGAAAAUCUAGCUGAUUUAGGG